rfam:Erinaceus europaeus unplaced genomic scaffold scaffold00670, whole genome shotgun sequence
AUAUUAUGAUGGUGGCAUAGUUCAGCAGAAAGUCGUGAAGAGAUGUGCCUUGUCUGAUUUAACU